AACGAACGCUGGCGGCAGGCUUAACACAUGCAAGUCGAGCGCCCCGCAAGGGGAGCGGCAGACGGGUGAGUAACGCGUGGGAAUCUACCCAUCUCUACGGAAUAACGCAUGGAAACGUGUGCUAAUACCGUAUACGUCCUUCGGGAGAAAGAUUUAUCGGAGAUGGAUGAGCCGGAGUUGGAUUAGCUAGUUGGUGGGGUAAAGGCCUACCAAGGCGACGAUCCAUAGCUGGUCUGAGAGGAUGAUCAGCCACACUGGGACUGAGACACGGCCCAGACUCCUACGGGAGGCAGCAGUGGGGAAUAUUGGACAAUGGGCGCAAGCCUGAUCCAGCCAUGCCGCGUGAGUGAUGAAGGCCCUAGGGUUGUAAAGCUCUUUCACCGGUGAAGAUAAUGACGGUAACCGGAGAAGAAGCCCCGGCUAACUUCGUGCCAGCCGCCGCAGUAAUAC
rnacentral:rRNA from 1 species